GAUGAAGAACGUAGCGAAAUGCGAUACGUAAUGUGAAUUGCAAAUUCAGUGAAUCAUCGAGUCUUUGAACGCACAUUGCGCCCCCUGGUAUUCCGGGGGGCAUGUCUGUCCGAGCGUCAUUGCUGCCCUCAAGCACGGCUUGUGUGUUGGGCCCCGUCCUCCGAUCCCGGGGGACGGGCCCGAAAGGCAGCGGCGGCACCGCGUCCGGUCCUCGAGCGUAUGGGGCUUUGUCACCCGCUCUGUAGGCCCGGCCGGCGCUUGCCGAUCAACCCAAAUUUUUUAUCCAGGUUGACCUCGGAUCAGGUAGGGAUACCCGCUGAACUUAAGCAUAUCAAUAAGCGGAGGA
rnacentral:misc_RNA from 1 species